rnacentral:tRNA from 1 species
GUGAACGCGGGUAGCGCGCUUCCUUGACAUGGAAGAGGUCACUGGUUCAAGUCCAGUUAUUCGCACCA